UGGAGGAGAGCAGCCAAAGCCAGUGCUCCAGGAGGGUGUCACAUGCUUGGAUUGAAUGCUGAGCAUCUGUUUCUGCUAUCAGUGAUGAAUAAAUUCCUAAUGAACUGCGUCAAGACAGCACGUGGACUUUUCUAGGUGGCAUCAUUCAAGAAGCUUCUUGCAAACUCUAUCUCAGUUUAAGUGACUAAAGCAUUAAGAGUAAGACAUGGCAAAGAAAGCAAGCCCUGGAUUUGAAAGCAACCAAAGCAAAUGCCUUCUGGAAAACGGACCUGAGGAUCUUUGAUGCUUAUGUAAAUGAAAACUCCAAAAUACCGGGUAAGACCUUGAUCCUGCAAGGACCGUGACACACAUGGAGCUAUAUGCUGGUGCGCAGUCCCUGGAGGUCGGUGUAGAUCUGUACAAGAAAUGCUGCAAAGAGGUUCUGCCCUCAAGGGAUGCUAUCACCCACCAAGAAGCAUGAGAGAAUUCACGCUACUCUUUCUACUCCUAUAAGAAUUUAUGCAAAGAAGAGCUGAGUAGGAAUUUUCCAUCAAAAUGCUUUUUCAAAAGAAAAUAUAAUUUCUGAAGGUGGAGGAAUUGAUGCCUUUUUGCAGUUUUUCAUUGGAAAAAAAAUAUUCGCUUUGAGAGUUGUAGAUUCAUGCUGCCUUGAUAAACACACACAUGCAUUCUGGCAAAUGGUACAAUACUGACAUGUCAUCUCAUUGUCUUGUGAAUAAGUAGCAGAUCUCUGAGUAUCGGUGAGAAGAAACAGAUGAUUCUUUUUUGGCUACUUCAUGCUAGUGAAAAUUUCCCUACUUGAGCAUCUUUAAUAAGCACUUCAAUACUUUGACAUAAAUCAUUUAGAGUCUGUAGGGUUUUCUCAGUGCUUUGAAAAAAACGUGUAGGAAAGGAACCCUUAUCUGGUGCUGGUUGACAUUGCAAGAAUUUUGCCCUACUAGAUAACACAGAUAAGACCCAAACUGUCUUGUGGGUCUUUACAUGAGAGAACCAGCAUUCAGUCAGUGUGCCAAACUACACAUCUGGCUAGCAGGUUAAUGCAUUUGCGGGAAAAGGCACAUUCCAUUCCAAUUUAUAAUAUACAACAAAUGCCUGUUGGUUUAAAAAAAAAAACCCAAAACACAAGUAUUUGUUGUUCCAAAAAUAAACUGUGGGAGGAAAGAAAAGGAAAAAAAAAGAAAAUAAAGGAAAACCUUGUUUUAUUUUUCUAUGGAAACCAUAAUCCUACUUGAUGAAAACAGUAAAAAAUCAAGCUCAUAAGGAUUUCUAAUGAUGGGAUAACCCUAGGUUCUUUGU